rnacentral:lncRNA from 1 species
UUGCUGACUUUAAGUCUUUAUCAAUGCAUACUUUCCAGACUUCCUUGGCAAAUUCCACCCUCAUCCUUGGCCAUAUGAUUGAGCUCUCCCUCCAGCGGUCUUGUUCUCUCCAUACUCCAUAGAUUUACACUAAAGAUCUAUCUAUUUUUGCACUCCAUAGGCAAGAUGUAAAGCAUAGGAGUUAUAACUAAUUCACAUACUCCUAUAUCAAUGCAGGGUUCCUUGACCGCUGAGCUGAACGGGGCCGAAAUUUAAAAGUUCUAAGCUAAGAAUUUCAGCUUCAGCUCCCAGCAAUUUGUGCUAAUAUAGAUGCCUAUAUUUAUCUUAUCAUGAGAGUCAUGCUGGAAGAGAUUGCAAAACAAAAAGAAUUCUAAUUUUCUUGUGAGGUGGAGGUAAGUUUUGCAUCCAAAAUAGACUUGAUGUGAGUCCAUACACAAAUUUCCAUGACUCUACAUUAGGAGAAUCUAGGUCAUAGGUUCAUGCGUUCUGUUCAUGAACAUAAUGAACUGAAUCAAUUAAUGUCAAAUG